GAAAAAAUAGUCUUCUAAAGUUUUUGUUCAUAAAGUUUCUUAGAUUGUUCAAAAAAAAAAGAGUGUGUAGUGUAUAUUAGUCUUUUACUCCUUUAUUCCAAUAGUUGUUAGCUUUCAGGGAACUCUCGAAAGGGAAAUCUCACUUCUUCCUUAAUACAGUUAAAUAGUCGUUACAUAGAUCAUUGUAUUUUUCUCCCUAGUUUGUAAAUUAUGUUGACUUAUAUCAAGUUCAUAUUUUCUUCCAGAUAUGUUUUAAAUAUUAUAGAUGUAAUAGCCGUGAGGAUUACCGCAAGCUUUCCAAUCUUGUAGAAUUGAUGUGUUUUUAUUAUAGAUCUAGAUAGCCGUGCAAAUUACUG
rnacentral:lncRNA from 1 species